rnacentral:rRNA from 1 species
CUUCGCUCCCUCGUCUUCCCAGCGCCGCCACACGCAACACACACACACACACACGCAGACGCGCAGAGGGGAGGCUCCUCUGCUCGAUCCCCUCCUCCCGGUGCACCCUCACCUCAACCUGCGCCUCCGGCCCUCACCAAGUCGACGACCGCUCCUUUCUUGCGCCGCCUUGUCGCGUCGAGCCUCGGAGCAGCUCCUUCCCCGCGCCCCUGAUCGACCUCUCCGUGGUCCUUGGACGUGGGCUAUCGCCUGCCUCUAACGCCCGCCUCGACCACCAUCGCUACCCUGAGACUGCCGGAGACCCCCAGUACAACUACGGUGUUGACGACCCGUCCUUCUUGCCAGAGCAACCAGAUGUUUGAGCCCAGGAGCCAGACGCCACCGUCGAUGAUGACUACUACUACUUGGGAGGUGCCUACUACUACGUGCAGCCCGCUGACGACGACCAGGAGUAUUUUAGGAGGAUCCCAGGCAGGAGGCCUGUGCCUCUUUUGAUCUGUAUCCCAGUUUGUGCUAGCCUUCUUAAGGCAAACUUGUUUAACUUAUGUCUGUACUCAGAUAUUGUUGCUUCUGCUGACUCGUCUAUGAUCGAACUCCUGUAUUCGAGCCCUCGAGGCCCCUG